GAAACUGGAGCACAUCACAUGCCGGCAUCGCCCAUCGAAAGCAACCGCCGCCGCCGCAUCAUCUCAUCUGUCGGCCAUCGCGGAUCGCCCCAUCUUGCCGAUCAAUCUCCUUUGCCAGCGCACGCCCUUCGCUGCUGCUUCGCAAUACGGCAGUACGCACUCGGCAGCGUCAUGGCGCGCACCCGCGCACGACACAUCUGCCAUCUACUCCAGACAAGUCCGCAACGGCGGCGUGCGCAGUUCGUCCACUCUGAUUUUCAUAUCUAUGCAAUUUUGAGCGUGGUUUGCAUUGGCUUGCUGUAAAACUUGUGAAGAAGUGCAAGGACAUCAAGAAAUCUAUGGAAGAAGAAAUUGUUGAAACUGUGAGCUCAUUAGAUGAAAAAGCUAAGGUGGAGAGCGAAUAGCAAAAGAAGGAAGAGCGGAUUGAUCACCCGUGCCCACCUUCUAAUGAGUGUAACUAUUUAUCUAAUACAUUGUUUAAUUUCCCUUCAUGCAUAUUGAAGGAUGAAUGCUAUGAUAAUUUCUAUGAUCCCUUGGAUCCGUUUGAAAUAUUCCUUAUUGAUGAAAUGGAUGCUUGCUAUGCUUUUGGCCAUGAUGCCAAUA